UACGUAGGGUCCGAGCGUUGUCCGGAAUUACUGGGCGUAAAGAGCUCGUAGGUGGUUUGUCGCGUUGUUCGUGAAAACUCACAGCUUAACUGUGGGCGUGCGGGCGAUACGGGCAGACUGGAGUACUGCAGGGAGACUGGAAUUCCUGGUGUAGCGGUGGAAUGCGCAGAUAUCAGGAGGAACAUCAGUGGCGAAGGCGGGUCUCUGGCCGAUACUGACGCUGAGGAGCGAAAGCGUGGGAGCGAACAGG
rnacentral:rRNA from 1 species